CAGCAGCCCUGGGUCCCGGGAGGCUGCUUCCUGGAAUGUUCCUGCUCCUGGGACAGGCCGGGGCCCGUCCAGGAUUUCGACUGCACAUACCUGGAGUGGCUGCGCGCCCGGGCUCCGAGACCCGGAGACGCGAAGGGACCUCAUGGCGACACACCCUGACUGUCCCCUGACCUGACCCUGCUGGCCCUCCAGGACUCGUGGCUCUGAAACCCAAGAUGGCUCAGCAGUGCAGCACUCCGAGGAGAAGCCUCCAGCCACAUGACCCCCUGCAGCUCGACCCAGCAGAAGUCUGGAAGGCACCUGUGUCACCCGCUCCAGCCCCACGCGACCUGCCAUGCUCACACUCUCUCUCUUGACCUUCAUACUUCCCCAUGACUCACAAGCUCACGAAACCGAAAAUAACAGCGAAGAUUCCUCA